GGGAGGCAGCAGUGGGGAAUAUUGCGCAAUGGGGGAAACCCUGACGCAGCAACGCCGCGUGAAGGAUGAAGGUUUUCGGAUUGUAAACUUCUUUGAUGGGGGACGAAUAAUGACGGUACCCCAAAAACAAGCCACGGCUAACUACGUGCCAGCAGCCGCGGUAAUACGUAGGUGGCGAGCGUUGUCCGGAAUUACUGGGUGUAAAGGGCGUGUAGGCGGGGACAUAAGUCAGAUGUGAAAUACCGAGGCUUAACUUCGGGGCUGCAUCUGAAACUAUGUUUCUUGAGUGUCGGAGAGGAAAGUGGAAUUCCCAGUGUAGCGGUGAAAUGCGUAGAUAUUGGGAGGAACACCAGUGGCGAAGGCGACUUUCUGGACGAUAACUGACGCUGAGGCGCGAAAGCGUGGGGAGCAAACAGGAUUAGAUACCCGUGUAGUCC
rnacentral:rRNA from 1 species